AUUGAACGCUGGCGGCAUGCCUUACACAUGCAAGUCGAACGGCAGCACGGGUGCUUGCACCUGGUGGCGAGUGGCGAACGGGUGAGUAAUACAUCGGAACGUACCUUAUCGUGGGGGAUAACGCAGCGAAAGCUGUGCUAAUACCGCAUAAGCCCUGAGGGGGAAAGCGGGGGCUCGAAAGACCUCGCGCGAUUAGAGCGGCCGAUGCCUGAUUAGCUUGUUGGUGGGGUAAAAGCCCACCAAGGCGACGAUCAGUAGCUGGUCUGAGAGGACGAUCAGCCACACUGGAACUGAGACACGGCGCAGACUCCUACGGGAAGCAGCAGUGGGGAAUUUUGGACAAUGGGGGCAACCCUGAUCCAGCAAUGCCGCGUGAGUGAAGAAGGCCUUCGGGUUGUAAAGCUCUUUUGUCAGGGAAGAAACACCGGCUCUAACACAGUCCGGGAAUGACGGUACCUGAAGAAUAAGCACCGGCUAACUACGUGCCAGCCGCCGCCGUAA
rnacentral:rRNA from 1 species